rnacentral:rRNA from 1 species
UACGAAGGGGGCUAGCGUUGCUCGGAAUUACUGGGCGUAAAGGGGGCGUAGGCGGGUCGUCAAGUUGGGGGUGAAAGCCCAGGGCUCAACCCUGGAACUGCCUUCAAAACUGGCGACCUAGAGUAUGGUAGAGGUGUGUGGAACUCCGAGUGUAGAGGUGAAAUUCGUAGAUAUUCGCAAGAACACCAGUGGCGAAGGCGGCUUACUGGUCCGGUUCUGACGCUGAGGCGCGAAAGCGUGGGGAGCAAACAGGAUUGAGAAACCC